GAGGUUCUAGUAAAAAAAUUACAUAACUUUGUCGAAGUUAAAGUAUAGGCUCAUCCCCUUUGUACCUCU
rnacentral:tRNA from 1 species